CUACAUUGUCCAGUUCUUUGCCGUGAUUCCAUUACAUCAAUGGCAAAUCAUCGUUGCUUCUUCAGUUAUGUUUUGGACUCUACACAAUCAGCACUGCCUUUACCAACAUCGUAUAAUUUGGACAUUGGACUACAAGACUAUCCUGUGUCUGUUAUUCUCAAGACAGAUGGUGAUGAUUUUUGGACGGCUAUAGUCAAACCGACAUCGAUUUGAUACUGUAUCUGUAACGGUUGGGCUAAAGUUGUUAACAGUCUUGGUGUUGAAAACAACGAUAUUAUUGUAUUUGAAGUCGUCAAAGAUAACACUUUCAAAAAUCGUCAUUACAAAUAUGAUCGUGAAGAUGAUUUGAAGAAUGAGUUUCAUCAUGUUAUGUUAU